GACGAACGCUGGCGGCGUGCUUAACACAUGCAAGUCGAACGGAAAGGCCUGCUUUCCCUUGUGGAUUGCGGGUACUCGAGUGGCGAACGGGUGAGUAACACGUGAGUGAUCUGCCCCCAACUUGGGUAUAAGCCUGGGAAACUGGGUCUAAUUCCCGAUAGGACUGCAGGGUGGUGCCUGUGGUGGAAAACGAUUUUCUAGUGGUUGGGGAUGAGCUCGCGGCCUAUCAGCUUGUUGGUGGGGUAAUGGCCUACCAAGGCGGCGACGGGUAGCCGGCCUGAGAGGGUGGACGGCCACAUUGGGACUGAGAUACGGCCCAGACUCCGACGGGAGGCAGCAGUGGGGAAUAUGGCACAAUGGGCGGAAGCCUGAGGCAGCGACGCCGCGUGGGGGAUGACGGCCUUCGGGUUGUAAACUCCUUUCGACCGCGAGGAAGCCACCUGGUUGGAAGGGUGGUGACGGUAGUGGGAGAAGAAGCACCGGCUAACUACGUG
rnacentral:rRNA from 1 species